UCCAACCCUAAGCUUGCCAUUGAUAUCCACUGCCUAACAGAACUGUCACAAUAAAAUUAUUAUGAUGUCAUUUCCCUUGUCAUAUUAUAGAUGAGGAAAGUAGAGCCCAAAGAUGUUAUAUUACUUGCCCAAGUUCACAUACAAAUGAUGAAACUGGAAUUUGCAUCUGCAUCUCAUUCCCUCACCCAAGUUUGAAGGAAGACAGGUUGUUGGGGCUGGAAUAUAUUAACAACUAGUUAAUAAGGGAAGAAACGCUGCUUUACAUACCUCUCAGAUUGUCAGCUCUGCUCCACUCCAGUACUCUGUAAAUAGCGUUCUUCUUAUCAGCAAGUAAUGCUGCUUCUCAUUUAAAACAAGUAGUGUAGUUAGAGUGUCCUUUGAUGGUCCUUCAAGAGCGACUGGCCCAGGAAACCAGCAAGGGAGGGGAAUAUGGGGGGCGUAGAGUAAGAGGCACAUAUAAAUCAAAGCAGGUCACUGCGAAUCCUUUCCCAGAAGCUUUUACAUGGAGCUUUUAUGUGAAGCUUUUACAUGGAACUGAGACUUGGUCUCCUCCUGGUGGGAGAAUUGUGAGCUGUGUGUUGCUGGAGUCCUGGUUCCAGGGGAGGAUGAGACCCCAUGUGAGACCUCACAACCAGGGGGAAGGCACAGAAGCUUGACUGAAGUGCAGGCAGGAAACAGCAGCAUCAGGAGCAAGAAUGACUGAACAACCGACCAACUACUUACUUCCAAUCAGACAGUGCCUUUGAGUCAAAACGACGCCCACCACCUUGAAAGGUCUACUCUCUCUCUCUGUCAUUUUCCUGUGGACUGGACAGGAUCUGAGGUCGGGCUCAGGAAGAGAAAACAUCUCCUCACAUCGCCUGGAAACCACCUAACCCAUUGGCCUUCUGGCAGGCAUGUUCUCAUUCAGCUGGAUGUCACCCAAAAUUCCACAAGAAGCUACUAAGUGUGGUAGCAGGUACUUGCUGGCUCUACUGACACCUCAUUAGCGUGACCCCCAGUCCUGUCCUGAUGCCCCUCUGCUUUUUUCCGCCCCCAACACUACUUUUGCUGGCACACCCCAGCUAUAAUGAGCCACCUCCAUCUGAAGAGCCCAGUGUCUCUUUCCAUCCAGACAUGAGAGGGAUAUGGGCAGAAGGGCAGGUCAAAGCCAGCCAACACUGCCCAACACCACCCUAGUCUUAAAAUAACACAAGGAACCCAAGGCACAAAAUGAGACUGCUAUCAGCCUCCCUCCUCUCCCAACCAUCCCCCCACCAGGAUCUUACAUCUGUUUCCUUGGAAAUGAAAGAUUUUUUUUGCAAAUGCUAGAUAACAAUGUGUCAUUCUGAGCGUUUCUCCAUGUAUAUGUACAAUCAUCUUAUUUAUCAUCAUUAUCUGCCACUAACCCACUUUUCUCCCCUUUUAUCCUUACUAUCUUGCUUAAUUUGAAGUGUGUAGCAUGAGAGGGGAAAUUUGGUGGGGGAAAUUACCAGUUCCAGCAUGACAUGGGAGGUAUGUUUUGAAAAAAGUGACUGGGAAAUCGUGAAAAAGUUCCAUCCUGAAUAAUUGGUCCAUCUAUCUUCUGCUCUGCAGGGAGAUGAGCCUCCCUCCUCCUGUCCAUUCUAGUGCGCUGUCCCUACUCUGAAAUGCUCAGCAUCUUGUACUUGUCUGGCA
rnacentral:lncRNA from 1 species